GAUGAACGCUGGCGGCGUGCCUAAUACAUGCAAGUCGAGCGAACAGACGAGGAGCUUGCUCCUCUGACGUUAGCGGCGGACGGGUGAGUAACACGUGGAUAACCUACCUAUAAGACUGGGAUAACUUCGGGAAACCGGAGCUAAUACCGGAUAAUAUAUUAAACCGCAUGGUUAAAUAGUGAAAGACGGUUUUGCUGUCACUUAUAGAGGGAUCCGCGCCGCAUUAGCUAGUUGGUAAGGUAACGGCUUACCAAGGCGACGAUGCGUAGCCGACCUGAGAGGGUGAUCGGCCACACUGGAACUGAGACACGGUCCAGACUCCUACGGGAGGCAGCAGUAGGGAAUCUUCCGCAAUGGGCGAAAGCCUGACGGAGCAACGCCGCGUGAGUGAUGAAGGUCUUCGGAUCGUAAAACUCUGUUAUUAGGGAAGAACAAAUGUGUAAGUAACUAUGCACGUCUUGACGGUACCUAAUCAGAAAGCCACGGCUAACUACGUG
rnacentral:rRNA from 1 species